rnacentral:rRNA from 1 species
GCCGUUGGGAGCCUUGAGCUCUUAGUGGCGCAGCUAACGCAUUAAGUUGACCGCCUGGGGAGUACGGCCGCAAGGUUAAAACUCAAAUGAAUUGACGGGGGCCCGCACAAGCGGUGGAGCAUGUGGUUAAUUCGAAGCAACGCGAAGAACCUUACCAGGCCUUGACAUCCAAUGAACUUUCUAGAGAUAGAUUGGUGCCUUCGGGAACAUUGAGACAGGUGCUGCAUGGCUGUCGUCAGCUCGUGUCGUGAGAUGUUGGGUUAANNNNCGCAACGAA